UACGUAGGGGGCAAGCGUUGUCCGGAUUUAUUGGGCGUAAAGAGCGUGUAGGCGGCCUGGUAGGUCAGCUGUGAAAACUCGAGGCUCAACCUCGAGACGCCGGUUGAAACCAUCAGGCUAGAGUCCGGAAGAGGAGAGUGGAAUUCCCGGUGUAGCGGUGAAAUGCGCAGAUAUCGGGAAGAACACCCGUGGCGAAGGCGGCUCUCUGGAACGGUACUGACGCUGAGACGCGAAAGCGUGGGGAGCGAACAGG
rnacentral:rRNA from 1 species